ACUGUAAAGGAUAGUUUAUUUAAGAUUAGUAAGGGUUAAUCCCUGUACCUUUUGUAUAAGGGUUUUUCAAGAAACAAAACGUAUGUUUGUAUCCCGAAAAAAAUAAAAGUUACUUUUUUUCUUAUAUUUAACGUGGCAAAGUUAAAUUAUAAAAAGAGGUGAAAGUGAUAUGCUAUUUGCUUUUUUUGAUAUCUGGUUGACUUAAAGAAAUAUAUAGUAUUGGCUAUUUUUAUAGUCUCAAAACUUUUGGGAUAAGCUGAAAGUGUUAUAUUUGAAUUGUAGAAAAAUAUAAGUUUUUUAUAGGCUUUAUAUUAGUUCAUUUUUAGUUUGUCAUAAAUAGGAACUUGUAGUAGAAAAUAAAAAUUAGUUUUUCAUCAAUUGUUAUAGGUCUAUAGAUUAGAAUUUAAUUAUAAUGAUAAAAAUGAGUAAAACGAUGAUAAUUAAGUGUAAAUAGCACUGGCUUUAAUAAUAGUUUUUUAAAUCCUCGUAAUGAACUCGGCAAAUUAUAUUUCUCGACUGUUUAACAAAAACAUUUCUCAUAGAAUAUAAUUAUGGGUAGGCCCUGCCCGGUGUAGUUAGUUAAUACCUAUCUAUUAACGGCGGCAUUAACGUGAGUGUCCUAAGGUAGCGCGAUAAUUUGCCCUUUAAUUGGGGGAUGGUAUGAAAGGGUUAACGUGGGAAUUCCUGUGUCACGAGGUUUAUUUGAAAUUAUUUUUAAAGUGAAGAAACUUUAAUUAAACAGAAAGACGACAAGACCCUAUGAAGCUUUAUUGUUAAACUCUCUAGUGUGAGUUUACAUUUUUAAUGGGGCAUUAUAGAAAAAAAUUUAAUAUAGCUAUCUAACUAGAUACAACUGUGUACAUAUAAGAUUAGCUACUCUAGGGAUAACAGCGAAAUUUCUUUUACUAGAAGGUAUUAAAAAAGAAGUUUUCGACCUCGAUGUUGGCUUUAGGUAACCAUUGGGUGUAUCAGCUCAAAUGCGUGGGUUUGUUCAACCUUUAAUUCCUAACAUGAGCUGAGUUCAGAACGGCGUGAGCUAGUUCAGUUUCUAUCUUCUGUUAAAUAAAGGUGGGUUUGGUACGCAAGGAACAAUUCAUCCAGAUGGUCUGUAUUUUAUUAAGCU
rnacentral:rRNA from 1 species